rnacentral:rRNA from 1 species
AUUGAACGCUGGCGGCAUGCUUUACACAUGCAAGUCGAACGGUAACAGGCCGCAAGGUGCUGACGAGUGGCGAACGGGUGAGUAAUGCAUCGGAACGUGCCCAGUCGUGGGGGAUAACGCAGCGAAAGCUGUGCUAAUACCGCAUACGAUCUAUGGAUGAAAGCGGGGGACCGUAAGGCCUCGCGCGAUUGGAGCGGCCGAUGUCAGAUUAGGUAGUUGGGGGGGUAAAGGCCUACCAAGCCGACGAUCUGUAGCUGGUCAGAGAGGACGACCAGCCACACUGGGACUGAGACACGGCCCAGACUCCUACGGGAGGCAGCAGUGGGGAAUUUUGGACAAUGGGCGCAAGCCUGCUCCAGCAAUGCCGCGUGCAGGAAGAAGGCCUUCGGGUUGUAAACUGCUUUUGUACGGAACGAAACGGUCUGGGUUAAUACCCUGGGCUAAUGACGGUACCGUAAGAAUAAGCACCGGCUAACUACGUGCCAGCCGCCGCGGUAAGAC